GCCUGGGUGGCUCAGUCGGUUAAGCAUCCGACUUCGGCUCAGGUCGUAAUCUCACGGUACAUGGGUUCGAGCCCCAUGUCAGGCU
rnacentral:tRNA from 1 species